rnacentral:tRNA from 1 species
GCCUGAGUGGCUCAGUCGGUUGAGCGUCUGACUUUGGCUCAGGUCAUGAUCUCACGGCUCUGAGUUCAAGUCCCACAUCGGGCU